GAACAAUACAUGCACAUAAGCAAAAACGGGAACAAUACAAAGAUUAGCAUGGCCUCUGUGCAAGGAUGACAAACACAGGUUAGUGACGUGUUCCACAUUGUU